ACGGGAGGCAGCAGUGAGGAAUAUUGGACAAUGGAGGCAACUCUGAUCCAGCCAUGCCGCGUGAAGGACUAAGGCCCUACGGGUCGUAAACUUCUUUUGACGCAGGGCAAUAAGGCGUACGUGUACGCCGAUGAGAGUAUGCGUCGAAUAAGCAUCGGCUAACUCCGUGCCAGCAGCCGCGGUAAUACGGAGGAUGCAAGCGUUAUCCGGAUUUAUUGGGUUUAAAGGGUGCGCAGGCGGCUUUUUAAGUCAGUGGUUAAAUCGUGACGCUCAACGUCAUCACGCCAUUGAUACUGGAGAGCUUGAUUGCGGUCGAGGUUUGCGGAAUUCGUCGUGUAGCGGUGAAAUGCAUAGAUAUGACGAAGAACACCGAUUGCGUAGGCAGCAGACCAGGCCGUAAAUGACGCUCAUGCACGAAAGUGCGGGGAUCGAACAGGAUUAGAUACCCUGGUA
rnacentral:rRNA from 1 species